GAGGAAGUGUGUGUGUUUUUUUUAAUGAGGAAGGCUUUCAGUGACGAGGAGAGGAGGGCAGGGCGUGCGCACCGUCUGAACAGUGUCACUUUGCGUGUGUUUGGGGAAGCUGUUCGCGCACGGAUAGAGCAGUUAGUUAGACGUGAACUGAUGAACUGUGCGUAAAAAGCAGCGCGGUUCGGAGCUGCAGCCCUGCCGGGGAGGAGGGGUAGGAGAGGCAGGAGGAUCCCGGCCUGGCCUCUCGGUAGGGGAGGGCACAAGAGGAAAUGACUGGCUUAAUAUUGAUCAGGAAUACGCCGGAGAGGCGGAUCGAUAACGCAGGACUGCAUGUAGCCGUCACAAAUGUGUUACUGUGGCGCACGACAGGUUUAAUUCUUUAACUUGUUGCCCUCAGUUUCUCUAUGAUGUACUGCUACUACAAAAACUAUUUAAAAAAAUCUUUUUACACAAGUCUUCUUGCGUAAAACAGUUUUUAACAAGAUUUUCUCAAUUUUGUUAAAUUAGCCUAUGGAUGAUAACUAGUAAAAUUACAAAAAAUGCUUUUACUUGGCAUGUUUUUUUUUUACUCAGUGUUGUUUUUUUUACUUCAAAUGUGUAUUACACUUAUUGUGCAUUUUGCAUUUUAUAUAUUUUUUAUUUUUACUUAUUUAUUUAUUUAUUUUACUUAAUUAUCUGUAUUUGUGGUGGUAACUGUACUAUUUUUGCUAUAACAACAGAAUUACCUCUCAGGAACAGUGGCGGAUCUUCUGUGGGGACACGGGGGUGGGGGGUAGUGGCCCCCCCUGUGAUCUGAUUGGCCACCCUGUGCGCUCCCGCCCCCAAAAAAUUUUUCGUUGGAAAUCCACAUUACUGAUCCUCCGAUUUCCGAUUCUCCUGAACGCAAUUUCGUUGUCCAACUGCACUUGAAUGCACCAGUUUGAUCUUUUGAUUGUAUUUGGAUUUGAAGAAGCUUUGAAGACAUUUCCUGAUGCCAGAGGAGAACACGAGCAGCUUUGGACCUUUGUGGUAAGAAGACUGUGGCCGUUUCUCAGUACGUAACUGUCCUUACUUGCGUUCUCACGUAGUUGUGAAACGUCAUCAUGGAGACUGAAUCAGAUCAGACUAGUGUGCAUGGAUGUGAAUUACUAGAUAAAUAUAUACAUCUAUGGCUGCAGCUCCCAUAGAUAUGAAUAAGUAGAUAGGACACCCCCUUUUGAGCUGUGUGCCUACAGCUAAGCUAGUGGGGGCAAAGUUUCAGUGCAUUCCCUUAAUGUAGAUGACAUGAAAACAGAAACAAGUAUGCAGUCUCAUUGUGCUGCAUACAGUUGCACACUACAUCAUACGAUGGAGACAAGGAAACUUGGAAUGACUUUUCAUAGGUUUCCCAGAGACUUUGGGCUGAGGAGGAGCUCUGAGGAGAGAGAGGUUUGCUGCAAAUGAUGAGUGGAUGCUCUGCAGUGAUUAUUAUGAACCUGAUGAGUCUGACAGGUGUUAAGGAAAAAUCACUCACUUUAUCAAGACUGAGGUGUCCCCUCAGCUGUUAGUUUAUGACAUUCUAAAUGUCGGUGUGUCUGCAAACUGCAGUCACCCUGAAAUCAAAUGUAGGUACCAAGUCAUCCCAAAUUCUGUAAAUCUGUUUAUGCUCACUCCGUCCCUAAUAUGACCCUGAGACAGACAGACGCUUAGAAAAGAUAACAUAGGAAUGAAACGCAACUGUUUGGCUGACAAGGUAAGAAUGACAAAGUUCUAUUGUUGUAUUCCUGUCCAGAUGGAUCCUGCACUAACAGUCCUGCUACCAUAUUUAGAGUCUAACCUAAACAUGGCAUGCCUCCCAACCAGUAUAUAUGCCAAAGCCAGAGAGACUCCUCAGAAGUGAUGCUGCCAGUGCUCACAUCACUGUCACUCACUGUAUCAUUUCUCCUGAUUUCAGUAAACCUUCUUCUAAACAUAAGCCAUCUGUCUCCAGACUGUCUCCGAGUUUGCCUCCUGAUUCUUCUUUUGACAUCGCAGAAUUCCCGAACAAAUUGGCGUCAGGAGAGCAGGAUCUCCACACAACAAAGACUGGGUUGCGUGGGGGUGCUGGAGCCUAUCCCAGCUGACUCGGGCGAAGGCAGGGGACACCCUGGACAGGUCGCCGGUCUGUCGCAGGGCUACAUAUACAGACAAACAAUCACACUCACAGGCAAUUUAGAAUAACCACUUAACCUCAGCAUGUUUUUGGACUGUGGGAGGAAGCCGGAGUACCCGGAGAAAACUCACGCAUGCACAGGGAGAACAUGCGAACUCCAUGCAGAAAGAUCCCAGGCCCACCCUGGGAUUUGAACCAGGGAUCUUCUUGCUGCAAGGCAAAAGUGCUAACCACCGACCUGGUGGAAAGUUGAGAAACUUGGGAAAAUUCGUCAAGACUCGGAUUUUCGAAAAACUCGUUGGCUGGGGGAAGGCGUGGUGGGCG